rfam:Gossypium raimondii Chr06_contig_1286, whole genome shotgun sequence.
UAUUAAAAAUUUUAUCCAUUUGUAGUAUUAGAAACUAGCGUGAUUGAUGUAAUAAUCAGAUAAUAACACAUGACGUGCCACAUGUACCUCACAUUGAUGGACAGAGAUCAAUUUUUAACUAUAUGGACGAAAUUUUUAAUA